CGGCGAGCGAAAGGGAAGAGCCCAGCGCCGAAUCCCCGGCCUCCGGUCGUGGGAAAUGUGGCGUUUAGGAGUGAGCGUGUCGUGCGCGGAGCUUGCGGCAAGUCCCCCUGACCGGGGCCUGUCCGUAGCGGGUGCGAGGCCCAUAGCCGCCGGGUCCGCCGCGAAUGCGAUCUCCUGGGAGUCGGGUUGCUUGGGAGUGCAGCCCUAAUCGGGUGGUAAACUCCACCUAAGGCUAAAUACCGCCGUGAGACCGAUAGCAAACAAGUACCGUGAGGGAAAGUUGCAAAGAACUUUGAAGAGAGAGUUCAAGAGUACGUGAAACUGCUCAGAGGUAAACGGGUGGGCCCUCGAAAUCCUGUGGCGAGAGGAUUCAGUCUGCCUCGGCGGACGCAGUGGAGGAAAACCGAGCAGGGCUUCCGCCGACGCGGGCCGUCCUCCUCUGCGACCUCAACCGAGGCUGACGCAUUUGUCUCUCGUCCCGAGGACGCUGCAGCCGGUCUGGAAGUGCAAGCGCGACGGCCUGAAGGCCGGGUAAUGGCAGGUGGCCGGUGGCUCGCCUCGUGCGGGUUAUCGGUUGUUAGCCGUCUCGGCAGUGGCUCGUCUCCAGACCGUGGUGCCGCGAGUCCCUUCACGGGACUCAUCGUCUCCACCCCAGAGUCGCAGGACAGAUCGUGGCCCGGAUCUCUGGUUUUCGACCGUCGCACUUCCACGGAGUGGGCGGAAGAGCCAGGGGCCCUCAUCGCCGCGACGGAUCUGCGGGGGACCGGAGGCUUGCAGCGAGUAGGUCGGUCACCCACCCGACCCGUCUUGAAACACGGACCAAGGAGUCUAACAUGUGCGCGAGUCAAUGGGUCUUGACUAGGCCCAUGGGCGCAAUGAAAGCGAAGGACCGCCUCGCGCGGUCUCAGUGGGGAUCCUUUCCCUUCGGGGGGAGGCGCACCCACGACCCGUCCUAUCCGGCUCGCCGGUUGGGCGGAGUCUGAGCGUACACGUUGGGACCCGAAAGAUGGUGAACUAUGCCCGGACAGGACGAGGCCAGAGGAAACUCUGGUGGAGGUCCGCAG
rnacentral:rRNA from 1 species